UACGUAGGGCGCAAGCGUUAUCCGGAAUUAUUGGGCGUAAAGAGCUUGUAGGCGGUUUGUCGCGUCUGCUGUGAAAUCUCAAGGCUCAACCUUGAGCUUGCAGUGGGUACGGGCAGACUAGAGUGUGGUAGGGGAGACUGGAAUUCUCGGUGUAGCGGUGAAAUGCGUAGAUAUCGAGAGGAACACCUGCGGCGAAGGCGGGUUGCUGGGCUGAUACUGACGCUGAGGCGCGAAAGCCAGGGGAGCGAACGGG
rnacentral:rRNA from 1 species